AGAGCGCAGGGAGGAUGCCUUGGCAUCAGGAGCCGAAGAAGGACGUGGUAAGCUGCGAAAAGCUACGGGGAUUGGCAAGCACGAUAUGAUCCGUAGAUGUCCGAAUGGAGCAAUCCACAUGGAGUCAAGUCCAUGUAUCAUAUACUGAAUAAAUAGGUAUAUGAGGGGAACCGCCCGAACUGAAACAUCUAAGUAGGGCGAGGAAAAGAAAUCAACCGAGAUUCUGUGAGUAGUGGCGAGCGAAAGCGGAAGAGGCUAAACCGAGAGGAGCAAUCCUUUCGGGGUUUAGGACUGCAUUUAGUACAGCAAUUGUUAACCGAACAGCAUGGGAAGGCUGAUCAAAGAAGGUGAGAAUCCUGUAGGUGAAAACGAAAGUUGACGAGCAGUAUCCAAAGUACCGCGGGGCACGUGAAAUCCCGUGGGAAGAUGGGGGGACCAUCCUCCAAGCCUAAAUACUACCUGAUGACCGAUAGCGAAAAGUACUGUGAAGGAAAGGUGAAAAGCACCCCGGGAGGGGAGUGAAAGAGAACCUGAAACCCUGUGCUUACAAGCACUUAGAGCACGUCAAAGUGUGAUAAGGUACCUAUUGUAGAAUGGUCCGGCGAGUUAUUGUAUGCAGCGAGGUUAAGUAGUUCAGCUACGGAGCCGAAGUGAGAGCGAGUGUUAACAGCACGUUCAGUUGCAUGCAAUAGACCCGAAACCGGGUGACCUAUCCAUGUCCAGGAUGAAGUGAGGGUAAAACCUCAUGGAGGUCCGAACCCACUCCCGUUGAAAUGGUAGGGGAUGAGGUGUGGAUAGCGGAGAAAUUCCAAUCGAACCCGGAUAUAGCUGGUUCUCCCCGAAAUAGUUUUAGGACUAGCCUCGUGAUCAAGAUUAUCGGAGGUAAAGCACUGAAUGGCCUAGGGGUCGAGAGAUUACCGAAGCCUAUCAAACUCUGAAUGCCGAAUAAUCAUGCACGGGAGUCAGACUGUGUGAGAUAAGUUUCAUAGUCGAAAGGGAAACAGCCCAGACCUACAGCUAAGGUCCCAAAGUACGUUUAAGUGGAAAACGAUGUGAAAUUGCGUAGACAACCAGGAUGUUGGCUUAGAAGCAGCCAUACAUUAAAAGAGUGCGUAAUAGCUCACUGGUCGAGUGACUUUGCGCGGAAAAUUUAACGGGGCUAAAACGUACACCGAAGCUUAGGCUUGUCACUAUGUGACAGGGGUAGGGGAGCGUUGAAUGAGGGGUGAAGUCGUAGCGAAAGCGACGGUGGACUUCAUUCAAGUGAGAAUGCCGGAAUGAGUAGCGAGAAUUAUGUGAGAAUCAUAAUGGCCGAAAGCCUAAGGUUUUUGGAGGAAGGUUCGUCCGCUCCAAGUAAGUCGGAAGCUAAGGUGAGGCUGAAAAGCGUAGCCGAUGCACAAACGGUUGAAAUUCCGUUACCACAGAAAGAUUUAAACUAAGGGACACUUUUGAAGAGCUGAUGCCGGGUGUUGGUUACCCCGGUCGUAAGGGAACGAAAUUAAGUAGUGAAGUCAGCGUGGAUGAAGGCGAGAAAAGCUUAGUGUAUAUCUUAUGUGUCCGUACCGCAAACCGACACAGGUAGGUAGGAAGAGAAUUCUAAGGCCAACGGGAGAAGGGUAGUUAAGGAACUCGGCAAAAUGUCCCCGUAACUUCGGAAUAAGGGGAGGUUUCUACGGAAACCCGCAGAGAAUAGUCCCAGGCAACUGUUUAUCAAAAACACAGCUCUAUGCUAAAUCGAAAGAUGACGUAUAUGGGGUGACGCCUGCCCGGUGCCGGAAGGUUAAGAGGAGGAGUGAGAGCCCUGAAUCGAAGCCCCGGUAAACGGCGGCCGUAACUAUAACGGUCCUAAGGUAGCGAAAUUCCUUGUCAGGUAAGUUCUGACCCGCACGAAUGGCGUAAUGAUCUGGGAGCUGUCUCAACUGCCCGCCCGGCGAAAUUGUAGUACCGGUGAAGAUGCCGGUUACCCGCGACUAGA
rnacentral:rRNA from 1 species